CUUGACUCUAGUCUGGCACCGUGAGGAGACGCGGGAGGUGUAGCAUAAGCGGGAGGCGCCCGCUCCCCCGGGAGCGGGGCCGCCGUCCAUGAAAUACCGCUGCUCUCGUGGUUUCCCCACUCACUCGGUGAGGCGGGGCACGCGUGCCGUCGCCAACGGCGCUCGGCGCGCGGACUUGUCGAACCAAGGCCCGGCUCGGCGGCGGGUGCGCUCGCCGUCGUCCGCCGGUGCCGACCCGAUCCGAGGACAAUGUCAGGCGGGGAGUUUGACUGGGGCGGUACGUCUGUCAAACGCUAACGCAGGUGUCCCAAGGCCGGCUCAGCGAGGACAGAAACCUCGCGCGGAGCAAAAGGGCAAAUGCCGGCUUGAUACCGGCGUUCAGUGGGCGCCGCUACCGCGAAAGCGCGGCCCAGCGAUCCUCUCGGCAGGGAGGGUCUCCCCCGAGAGGUGUCAGAAAAGUUACCACAGGGA
rnacentral:rRNA from 1 species